AAAGAAGGCCUAGCCUAAAACAUCAUGUUCAUUAUGAUUGCUACUUACAUAGGGUCUUGCUUCAUGAGAGUGAGGAGUCAUUUAAUCUGAUAGAAGUCCCAUUGCCCAUGAAUGAUGAGCUUUUGGUUCAUUAAGAGAGGAAAACGUAAAGAGAAAUGAAGAGACAAGAGCAAUGACAGAGAAAAGGAAAGGAAGUCAAUAGUGAGCCACCAAAGAAUGAAGAAGGAGAAUUUUCUGGAACUUUCUACAAGUGAUGAGGAAAAAAUGAUUGCAUGAGAUAAAGGAUGUAAAAUGCGAAUGGAUGAAGUUGAGAUGUGCCAUAAGGAUCCAACAUGAUUGCAAAACAGCAGCUGAGUUGCUGGGAAAACUAACUAUGAUUCGUUAGUAUUGGGAUGUGAGCAAACAGCAUAUUCACAAAAUUAGCAGAACAGAUAUGAGAAUGUUAA
rnacentral:misc_RNA from 1 species